rnacentral:rRNA from 1 species
GACGAACGCUGGCGGCGUGCCUAAUACAUGCAAGUCGAGCGGACAGAAGGGAGCUUGCUCCCGGAUGUUAGCGGCGGACGGGUGAGUAACACGUGGGUAACCUGCCUGUAAGACUGGGAUAACUCCGGGAAACCGGAGCUAAUACCGGAUAGUUCCUUGAACCGCAGGGUUCAAGGAUGAAAGACGGUUUCGGCUGUGACUUACAGAUGGACCCGCGGCGCAUUAGCUAGUUGGUGAGGUAACGGCUCACCAAGGCGACGAUGCGUAGCCGACCUGAGAGGGUGAUCGGCCACACUGGGACUGAGACACGGCCCAGACUCCUACGGGAGGCAGCAGUAGGGAAUCUUCCGCAAUGGACGAAAGUCUGACGGAGCAACGCCGCGUGAGUGAUGAAGGUUUUCGGAUCGUAAAGCUCUGUUGUUAGGGAAGAACAAGUGCAAAAGUAACUGCUUGCACCAUGACGGUACCUAACCAGAAAGCCACGGCUAACUACGUGCCAGCCGCCGCGGUAA